AUUGAACGCUGGCGGCAUGCUUUACACAUGCAAGUCGAACGGCAGCGCGGGCUUCGGCCUGGCGGCGAGUGGCGAACGGGUGAGUAAUGCAUCGGAACGUGCCCAGUAGUGGGGGAUAGCCCGGCGAAAGCCGGAUUAAUACCGCAUACGACCUGAGGGUGAAAGCGGGGGACCGAAAGGCCUCGCGCUAUUGGAGCGGCCGAUGUCGGAUUAGCUAGUUGGUGGGGUAAAGGCUUACCAAGGCGACGAUCCGUAGCUGGUCUGAGAGGACGACCAGCCACACUGUGACAGAGACACGGCCCAGACUCCUACGGGAGGCAGCAGUGGGGAAUUUUGGACAAUGGGGGCAACCCUGAUCCAGCCAUGCCGCGUGCGGGAAGAAGGCCUUCGGGUUGUAAACCGCUUUUGUUCGGGAAGAAAUCCUCUGGGCUAAUACCCCGGGGGGAUGACGGUACCGGAAGAAUAAGCACCGGCUAACUACGUG
rnacentral:rRNA from 1 species